AUUUUUUGCCUCAAACUUCCCAUAAAGCGAAGGCUUCCUUAGUCCUGACCUACGAUGAUGACGUAGGCAGCUAAAGCAAGCCUUCAUUUUAAUGGGAGCAUACGUCAUCGUUACG
rnacentral:precursor_RNA from 10 species